GUACGCUGGCGGCACGCCUAACACAUGCAAGUCGAACGCAGUAGCAAUACUGAGUGGCAAACGGGUGAGUAUAAUGUGGGAAUCUGCCUUUUGGUUUGGAAUAACACGGGGAAACUUGUGCUAAUACCGAAUAAGCCCUUACGGGGAAAGUUUUAACGCCGAAAGAUGAGCCUGCACUUGAUUAGCUAGUUGGUAAGGUAAAAGCUUACCAAGGCAACGAUCAAUAGCUGUUCUUAGAGGAAGACCAGCCACAUUGGGACUGAGACACGGCCCAGACUCCUACGGGAGGCAGCAGUGGGGAAUCUUGCACAAUGGGGGAAACCCUGAUGCAGCGAUGCCGCGUGAGUGAAGAAGGCCUUUGGGUUGUAAAACUCUUUCGUCGGGGAAGAAAAUGACUGUACCCGAAUAAGAAGGUCCGG
rnacentral:rRNA from 1 species